rnacentral:rRNA from 1 species
UACGGAGGGUGCAAGCGUUAUCCGGAUUCACUGGGUUUAAAGGGUGCGUCGGUGGGCAGUUAAGUCAGUGGUGAAAUCUCCGGGCUCAACCCGGAAACUGCCAUUGAUACUAUCUGUCUUGAAUAUCGUGGAGGUAAGCGGAAUAUGUCAUGUAGCGGUGAAAUGCUUAGAUAUGACAUAGAACACCAAUUGCGAAGGCAGCUUACUACCCGAAUAUUGACACUGAGGCACGAAAGCGUGGGGAUCAAACAGG